CUUUCCUCGACGGUGAACCUUGGGGGGAUACAUA
rnacentral:rRNA from 1 species